AGCUCCAAUAGCGUAUAUUAAAGUUGUUGCAGUUAAAAAGCUCGUAGUUGGAUUUCUGGUGGGAGCGACCGGUCCGGCGCUUAGCGCGGGUACUUGCGUCGUCUCCGGCCAUCCUUGGGGAGAGUUUGUCUGGCAUUAAGUUGUCGGGCAGAGGAUCCUCAUCGUUUACUGUGAAAAAAUUAGAGUGUUCAAAGCAGGCUUAUGCCGUUGAAUAUAUUAGCAUGGAAUAAUAAGAUAGGACUUUGGUACUAUUUUGUUGGUUUGCGCACCAAAGUAAUGAUUAAUAGGGACAGUUGGGGGUAUUCGUAUUCCGUUGUCAGAGGUGAAAUUCUUGGAUUUACGGAAGACGAACUACUGCGAAAGCAUUUACCAAGGAUGUUUUCAUUA
rnacentral:rRNA from 1 species